rnacentral:lncRNA from 1 species
AAAUAUCAACUCUCAAAAAUAUUUCUACUUGUGUACAAAUAAUACAUAGUUCCAAAAGCAAAAUAUCUACACUACUUUUGCCUUCUUUCACAAGGUAACAAUUAGCUUAUUCAAAUAUCUCACUGCAAGAGUAAUUUGUAUAUAUAUAUACUAGAUCAGUGUUUUAUUAUUGCUGCAUGCUCUCCCUGAAGUUCAUAGAUCUAGACAUCGCUGCAGGGUUUUCUUGUAGAUUGAUAGACGUUUCAGGGACCAAGCUUCUUCUGUUGCUACCCUUUGUUUCAAAUCUAUUGAACAAACUUAAUCCUCCUUCCGUAUUCUUCUCAGGCUUUGUUGGUAACUCAGGGUACACCACGUUCUUAGUAGCUUCACUAGUUCUAAGAGUAGUAUUUUUGGUUUCUACUUCAGUUUGAUCCCUUGCUCGUUUCCCUAAACAUGGUGAAGUCUCUGAGAUAGGCCAUAUAGGAACCGUGC